AGAACUUGGAACAUAAGAGCACGC
rnacentral:sRNA from 1 species